rnacentral:rRNA from 1 species
UACGAAGGGGGCUAGCGUUGCUCGGAUUGACUGGGCGUAAAGGGCGCGUAGGCGGUUUGUACAGUCAGACGUGAAAUUCCCGGGCUCAACCUGGGGGCUGCGUUUGAUACGUGCAGACUUGAGUUCGGAAGAGGGUCGUGGAAUUCCCAGUGUAGAGGUGAAAUUCGUAGAUAUUGGGAAGAACACCGGUGGCGAAGGCGGCGCUCUGGACCGAGACUGACGCUGAGGCGCGAAAGCGUGGGGAGCAAACAGG